CCUACGGGAGGCAGCAGUGGGGGAUAUUGCACAAUGGGGGAAAGCCUGAUGCAGCGACGCCGCGUGUGGGCAGACGGUCCUCUGGAUUGUAAACCACUGUCACCAGGGACGAAGAUGACGGUACCUGGGGAGGAAGCUCCGGCUAACUACGUGCCAGCAGCCGCGGUAAUACGUAGGGAGCGAGCGUUGGCCGGAAUUACCGGGUGAAAGGGGAGCGUAGGCGGGGAUGCAAGUUGGGUGUAAAAACUACCGGCUCAACUGGUAGUCGCACUCAAAACUGCAGCUCUUGAGUGAAGUAGAGGCAGGCGGAAUUCCUAGUGUAGCGGUGAAAUGCGUAGAUAUUAGGAGGAACACCAGUGGCGAAGGCGGCCUGCUGGGCUUUUACUGACGCUGAGGCUCGAAAGUGUGGGGAGCAAACAGGAUUAGAUACCCUUGUAGUC
rnacentral:rRNA from 1 species